CAAACCUUUGUGAAGCACAGUCAGUUCUUUAAUGGCGCGGAGCAGCAAUUACCAACGCCAGCUAUUAAAGAAGGGGAACCAAUUAGUCAUCUUGGGAUUCCUCCACACGUUUGCCACUUGAGGGAUUUCCAGCAGCACAUCCCCUUGGGAUGGAGCACACCCCCGAGAGCCCCUGCGCCCCGUGGGGAGGGAUGGGGAUGCUCCCUGGAUGCGGUCUCCAUAGAGACGGUCACUGCAGCAACACAGAGCAGCAAGGAUGGAGGGCCGGGGAGGAUGCAAAGGAGGACCUUCCCCCUAGGCAGGAACUAGGAGAAUGAGUCCAGACUGAGGGCGGCUUCUCCUGCCCUCCUCAAGCUGCAACAUGCGAGAGACCCAUUGGGGCAGCGUCCCUCAUCCCUUCCUCCUCCCAUCUGCCACAGCUCUCUGCACGCAGAGCAGCGGAGCACAGCGAGAUCUCUCUGGUGGACGACCUCCUGGCCUCCAGGGAGUGGGAACUCUGUCCUGCGAGCCCGCGAUCCCCCGACACGCCUCCGCUGAGCGGCCUCUGACGUCAGCUCAUGUCUACAAACAUUGGUUUUGAGCCACAGCCAAAAGUUGAAACGCAGGGAAAAAAAUAAUGGUGAUGAAAGCAAA